rnacentral:tRNA from 1 species
AGAAUAGCUCAGUUGGUAGAGCAACUCCCUCGUAAAGAGUAGGUCGCAGGUUCAAAUCCUGUUUCUAG